rnacentral:rRNA from 1 species
GUGGGGAAUCUUGCGCAAUGGGCGAAAGCCUGACGCAGCCAUGCCGCGUGAAUGAUGAAGGUCUUAGGAUUGUAAAAUUCUUUCACCGGGGACGAUAAUGACGGUACCCGGAGAAGAAGCCCCGGCUAACUUCGUGCCAGCAGCCGCGGUAAUACGAAGGGGGCUAGCGUUGCUCGGAAUUACUGGGCGUAAAGGGCGCGUAGGCGGACAGUUUAGUCAGAGGUGAAAGCCCAGGGCUCAACCUUGGAAUUGCCUUUGAUACUGGCUGUCUUGAGUACGGGAGAGGUGAGUGGAACUCCGAGUGUAGAGGUGAAAUUCGUAGAUAUUCGGAAGAACACCAGUGGCGAAGGCGACUCACUGGCCCGUUACUGACGCUGAGGCGCGAAAGCGUGGGGAGCAAACAGGAUUAGAAACCCAGUAGUCC